rnacentral:misc_RNA from 1 species
AAGAAGAAGCGAGUUGACCCUUUCUUAAGGGCGCUCCAUCCUCUUAUUCCACACACCCGUGCAUUCGGGGGCGUCAAAGUCUGGCCGACAAGGCUGCGACCGAGGCGCUUCCCGCCAUCUCACUAGCUCCUAAGUUAACGAGGAUGUUGCAAAAAUAAAAAACUAAACA